GGCGAACGGGUGAGUAACACGUGGGUAAUCUACCUAUGAGACGGGGAUAGCCCCGGGAAACUGGGGUUAAUACCGGAUGUGAUCCUUGGGGCGCAUGUUCCGAGGAGGAAAGGGUGCAAACCGCUCAUAGAUGAGCCCGCGGCCCAUUAGCUAGUUGGCAGGGUAAGAGCCUACCAAGGCGACGAUGGGUAGCCGGUCUGAGAGGAUGGCCGGCCACACUGGGACUGAGACACGGCCCAGACUCCUACGGGAGGCAGCAGCAAGGAAUUUUGGGCAAUGGGGGAAACCCUGACCCAGCGACGCCGCGUGAGCGAAGAAGGCCUUCGGGUCGUAAAGCUCUGUCUUUGGGGACGAAUGGGACGGUACCCAAAGAGGAAGCCCCGGCUAGCUACGUGCCAGCAGCCGCGGUAAUACGUAGGGGGCGAGCGUUGUCCGGAAUUAUUGGGCGUAAAGGGCGAGUAGGCGGCUUUGCAGGUCGGGUGUGAAAAACUGAGGCUCAACCUCGGGAAUGCAUCCGAAACCGCA
rnacentral:rRNA from 1 species